GACGUAGGGCGCGAGCGUUGUCCGGAUUUAUUGGGCGUAAAGAGCUCGUAGGCGGCUUGUCGCGUCGUCCGUGAAAACCUGCAGCUCAACUGCAGGCUUGCGGUCGAUACGGGCAGGCUAGAGUUCGGUAGGGGAGACUGGAAUUCCUGGUGUAGCGGUGAAAUGCGCAGAUAUCAGGAGGAACACCGGUGGCGAAGGCGGUUCUCUGGGAAUGUCCUGACGCUGAGGAGCGAAAGUGUGGGGGAGCGAACAGG
rnacentral:rRNA from 1 species